GUCUAUGGCCAUACCACCCUGAACACGCCCGAUCUCAUAAGCUAAGCAGGGUUGGGCCUGGUUAGUACUUGGAUGGGAGAUUAGCAGAAUUUAGGAAGAUAUUUGUC
rnacentral:rRNA from 1 species